rnacentral:rRNA from 1 species
AACGAACGCUGGCGGCAUGCCUAACACAUGCAAGUCGAACGAGACCUUCGGGUCUAGUGGCGCACGGGUGCGUAACGCGUGGGAACCUGCCUUUAGGUUCGGAAUAACUCAGAGAAAUUUGAGCUAAUACCGGAUGAUGUCUUCGGACCAAAGAUUUAUCGCCUUUAGAUGGGCCCGCGCUGGAUUAGCUAGUUGGUGGGGUAAAGGCCUACCAAGGCGACGAUCCAUAGCUGGUCUGAGAGGAUGAUCAGCCACACUGGGACUGAGACACGGCCCAGACUCCUACGGGAGGCAGCAGUGGGGAAUAUUGGACAAUGGGCGAAAGCCUGAUCCAGCAAUGCCGCGCGAGUGAUGAAGGCCUUAGGGUUGUAAAGCUCUUUUACCCGAGAUGAUAAUGACAGUAUCGGGAGAAUAAGCUCCGGCUAACUCCGUG